rnacentral:lncRNA from 1 species
UCCAGAUUUUCGUCACUGGAAAACAGUCAGAUUGAAAACUCGAUAUCUCACAAAUUAUAAUUGCUAUGACAGAGUUCUUGGUGUCCAAAGAAAGACAUUGAAGUCCUCUACAACUUUGUCCACAGGCUCAAAAAUUAUUAAAGCUUCUAAAAUGCCCUAACAUUACGAUGAACAGGGACUGCUCAGUCUGACGAGAAUUUCAGAACAAGAACGAAAUUGACUUCGAUAAUUUCUCAACUAAACCCAAUCCCAAAUAAGCGAUUUAAUCCGCAAAACUUGAUCAGAUAAAGGGGAUUAAUAUUUGGCUUCUCACCUAGAGAACCACAGCGAGCACGACGCAAAAACUCCCGGCGUCUACUCCUUCUUCUCCGCCUCUUCACCUUUCCAUCAUCUCUGAUCCAACUCACCACGAUCCUUGCCGCCACAAAGGCCUUGUUAUUCCGAUCUACGCCAAACAUGGCUAAGCCCUCAUGGACAGCAAAGGGACAUGGUGGAUCAAUGGGACAGCCAAGAUACGUGGUAGAACCUAACCGUAAUUUGCACGGGAGGAAGAACGACCACCACGGAUGACCGACGACGGCGGUGGCAAAACCCUAGGCCCUCUCCUCCUCUUCCCUCUUCUCCUUUCUCUCUUUCGUGAAUUUGGUAGGUAGGAUGGCGGCGGUUCGUGACCAGGUUGGGAGGAACAGGGAAAACACCGACUCGGAAAAGGGUCGGGCGUGGUACUGUACACCGUGGGUACUGUAGCACCGGCUACAGUAUUUUAUUUUUUAUUUUUUACCUUUUUUUUCUUUAUCUAUUUUCCCUCAGGCGUUAAGUCUACCCUCCUAAAAAAGAAUUCAUCCUCGAAUUCAGCUGCAUCUACGGUAUAAGCCAAGAUAACGGUAAACACACAUAUUUGCAUAAAACUCACCGGUGUCAAAUAGUUCAGGAUACUCCUUACGCAUCUGCUCCUCAAGCUCCCAAGUCGCUUCACGUUCAGGCUGAUUUGCCCAUAGAACUCUGACAUAUUUGAUAAUUCUUCUCCUUAGAACACGCUCUGAUGAUUCUAAAAUACGCACUGGCUCACACUUCACAGUCAAGUCCUGCUCCACAUGAAUAGGCUCUAAGUUGAUCUUAUGCUCGGGAUCUCGCAGAUACUUUCUCAACAUAGAAACAUGGAAGACAUUAUGAAUUCCCUUCAUAGACUCGGGCAACUGCAAGCGGUAAGCCAAGCUACCGACUCAGGCUAUGAUAUCAAAAGGUCCAAUGUACCUCGGGCUGAGCUUUCCCGUAGUACCAAACCGCACAACACCCUUAGUAGGCGAUACUCGAAGAAGAACUUGAUCACCCACUGCAAACUUGAGAUCUCGCCUUCGAACAUCUGCAUAGCUUUUCUGGCGGCUCUGAGCAGCCAACAUAUUCUGACGUAUUUCUGGUACCUUCUUAGUUGUCUGUUGAAUCCAAUCUGGACCAACUAAAGACCUCUCUCCUAGUGUUUCCCAACACAACGGUGAGAUACAUCUUCUACCAUACAAAGCCUCAUAUGGCGCCAUCUUUAUACUAGCUUGAUAGCUGUUAUUAUAAGCAAACUCAGCCAAAGCUAGAUGAUCCUCCCAACUUCCCCUCCAAGAAAGGACACAAGCACGCAACAUAUCCUCCAAAGUAUGGAUAGUGCGCUCAGACUGACCAUCAGUUUGAGGGUGAAAAGCAACACUCAUGUCAAGCUUCGUCCCUAAAGCGCUAUGCAAACUUUUCCAGAAAUUAGAAACAAAUUUGGAGUCUCGAUCAGAAACAAUAGACUUUGGUACUCCAUGUAGCCUCACUAUCUCCUUAAUAUACAAUGGGACCAAAUCUGCAGCAGAAUUCUUGGUGUUCAUUGGAAUAAAAUGAGCCAUCUUGGUGAGUCUAUCUACAACAACCCAAAUUGCAUCUUUACCCCGUGGAGAACGUGGCAAACCAACCACAAAGUCCAUAGUAAUAUAUUCCCACUUCCAUUCUGGAAUUUCUAGGGUUUUCGAUAAUCCUGCAGGCCUCUUGUGCUCAGCCUUCACUUGCUGGCACACACCGCAAGCUGCUACAUACUUGGAAACAUCGGCCUUCAUCCUCUUCCACCAAAAGCUCUGCUUCAGAUCUCUAUACAUCUUUGUCUCACCAGGAUGAACUGUGUAUGGAGUACGAUGAGCUUCUCUUAAGAUAUCUAUUAUUUUCACCUCUGAUUUCUGUGGCACACAAAGGCAUCCCCUAAAACAAACCGCAUCAUUCUGAUCAAUACUAAACUCACGAGGUUUGCCAUCACCAACACUCUUGCGAGCCUCCUGAAUCAAGCGAUCAUGCUUUUGAGCCUCACAGACCCUCUCAAGAAGGUUUGACUGAAUGAGCAACUGAGUCUCCUCUCUUGCUGCACCAAAAUAGCACAAGGAGACACCCAUACGAUUCAAAUCUGCAAUCAAGGGCAUUGCCACCUUAGGAACCCCAGUUCUACUAAGAGCAUCUGCCACCACAUUCGCCUUCCUAGGAUGAUACUGAAUAGUAAGGUCAUAAUUUUUUAUCAACUCAAGCCACCUACGCUGCCUCAACUUUAGCUCCUUCUGAGUAAAAAUAUAUUGAAGGCUCUUAUGAUCAGUAUAAAUAUCACAUGGCUCACCAUAUAGAUAAUGCCUCCAAGACUUCAGGGCAAACACCACAGCAGCCAACUCUAGAUCAUGGGUAGGAUAAUUUCUCUCAUGUUUCUUCAACUGCCUAGAGCCAUAAGCAAUCACUUUGCCAUCUUGCAUCAAUACACAACCAAGACCAACACAGGAUGCAUCUGUGUACACCGUGAAACACUUGCCACUCUCAGGUAAGGCCAAGAUAGGAGCAUUCACCAACUUAUCCUUUAAAGUAUGGAAACUGAUCUCACAAUCAUUGUUCCAUACAAAAGGAACACCCUUCUCAGUAAGCCUCGUCAUCGGCUUUGCAAUACUAGAGAAAUCCUGCACAAAACGCCGAUAAUAGCCAGCAAGACCAAGAAAACUGCGAAUCUCAGUCACUGUAGUAGGUCUCUGCCAAUUAACAACGCUAGCUACAUUCUUGGGAUCCACUGAAAUGCCAUGUUGAUUAAUAACAUGACCUAGAAAAGCCACUUCAGAGAGCCAAAAAAAGCGCACUUCUUCAAUUUCCCAUAAAAUUGAUUCUUCCGAAGGGCAUCAAGAACAAGGCUAAGAUGUAGCUCAUGCUCUUCCUCGGACUUAGAGUAAAUCAAGAUAUCGUCAAGGAAAACAACGACAAAAUCAUCCAAGUACUCAUGUAGCAUCCUAUUCAUAGCUUCCAUAAACACAGCAGGGGCAUUUGUUAGUCCAAAAGACAUAACAAUAUAUUCAUAAUGCCCAUACCUGGUGCUAAAAGUUGUCUUCUCUAUAUCUUCAUCCCGUAUUCUCAACUGAUGAUAGCCAGAAUUCAAGUCAAUCUUAGAGAAUACCUUGGCACCUCUCAAUUGCUCAAAGAGCACUUCAAUACACGGUAAAGGAUAUUUAUUCUUGAUGGUUACCCGAUUAAGAUCUCGAUAAUCCACACAUAACCUCUUAGUACCAUCCUUCUUCUCCACAAAUAGCAUAGGGAAAGCCCAAGGUGACUUGCUAGGUCUAAUAAAACCCUUAGCAAGAAGAUCAUCCAACUGCCUCUUCAACUCAACCUGCUCUUUUGGAGCCAUCCAAUAUGGAGUCUUAUGGAUUGGCUGCGUACCAGGAACCAACUUGAUUUCAAAAACUGCAUCACGCUCAGGAGGAAUACUUGGAAGUUCAGCAGGAAACACGUCAAGAUAAUGACACACCACUCGUAUGUCCUCCACUCUCAAGGCAACCUCACUACCAUCCACCAUAGAAAAGAGAAUUCCAGAUUUCCUAGUUCGACGAUCUGAGAACAACAGACAAAAUAGAGCAAGAGAGUACUUCAUAGCACUCCCAACAAAGAUCACCUCUCUACCAGAAGGUGCCUGCAAAGAUACUGUCUUCCAGAAACAAGAGAUAAUAGCCCGAUAUUGUGAAAGCCAAUCCAUGCCCAAAAUAACAUCAAAGGACUCAAGGGGAAUCACCACUAGAUUAGCAACAAAACCCUCCUCAGCUAGAAAAAUAUGGCAACCCGGACAAAUCAAAUGACUUGAUAUAGAGCCUUUAGCAGAACUAACCACAAUGGACUGACCAAUCUUCUGCAUAGAAAGGCCAGCACGAGCCACAAACCCUUUCGAGACAAACGAGAAACUAGCGCCAGAGUCAAAAAGAGCAUAUGCAUCAAAUGAAUCAACUAAUAUAGUACCUGUAACAACAUCUCCACACCUAGAGCCUGCUCCACAGUGGUGCGAAAAUCCACCAGUGGAAAGGCCCCCAAAGUGUGCCUGAUCGAUGGUUUCAAACCCUGACGAAACUGGAAUGCCUUCUCUACCUCAUUACGGGCCACAUGUGGAACAAAGCGAACAAUCUUGUUGAAGCCCACCUCAUACUCUGCCACUGUUUUCUUAUCCCAAAUAAGCGGUUUAAACCGCAAAACUUGAUCAGAUGAAGAGGAUUAAUAUUUGGCUUCUCACCUAGAGAACCACAGCGAGCACGACGCAAAAACUCUCGGUGUCUACUCCUUCUUCUCCGCCUCUUCACCUUUCCAUCAUCUCCGAUCCAACUCGCCACGAUCCUUGCCGCCACAAAGGCCUUGUUAUUCCGAUCUACGCCAAACAUGGCUAAGCCCUCAUGGACAGCAAAGGGACAUGGUGGAUCAAUGGGACAGCCAAGAUACGUGGUAGAACCUAACCGUAAUUUGCACGGGAGGAAGAACGACCACCACGGAUGACCGACGACGGUGGUGGCAAAACCCUAGGCCCUCUCCUCCUCUUCCCUCUUCUCCUUUCUCUCUUUCGUGAAUUUUGUAGGUAGGAUGGCGGCGGUUCGUGACCAGGUUGGGAGGAACACGGAAAACACCGACUCAGGGUAGGAGAAGGGUCGGGCGUGGUACUGUACACCGUGGGUACUGUAGCGACGACUACAGUAUUUUUAUUUUUUUUAUUUUUUACCUUUUUUUUCUUUAUCUAUUUUCCCUCAGGCGUUGCAGUUAAGAAACUAUUUUGGACGCACCCGAUGGUACUCCUAGGUCAAGGUGCUCAAGUGAAAGCCCGAUUUGGUCUGUUUGGAGAUAGUGCUAAUCUUGAUGCAAGAUAGAUGCACGGUUUGCAUGGAACAUACGAUAUGCUCAGAAAUCAAUUAGGACCUACCUGAUAUAAGUCCUUGAUAAUGUGUGUCAUAUGGAAUCUUGCUUUGGUUCGUUUAUAGAAAGUUUUAAUUUUGGUAGAAGAUAUGUGCACGGUUUACGCCUAAUGCACCAUAGGCUAAGAAACCAUUUUAGACGCACCCGAUGGUACUCGUAGUUGAAGAGGCUCAAGUGGAGGCUCGAUUUGGUCUGCUCGGAUAUAGUGUUAAUCUUUAUGCAAGAUAGUUGCACAGUUUGCAUGUAACGUACCAUAUGUUAAUAAAUCAAUUUGGACGCACCCAAUGGAACUCCUAGAUGAUGUGUGUCAUAUGGAAUCUCGCUUCGGUCUAUUUGGAGACAAUGUUAGUUUCAGUGCAAGAUAGGUGCAUAGUUUGUGCCUAAUGCACCAUAGUCUAAGAAACCAUUUUUGACGCACGUGUUUCUACUCCUAGAUGAAGAGGCUCAAGUGGAAGCUCGUUUCGGUCUAUUUGGAGACAGUGCUAGUCUUGAUGCAAGAUAGGUGCACGGUUUGCAUGGAACAUACCAUAUGCUUGGAAAUCAAUUUGGAUGCACCUGAUGGGACUCCUUGAUGACGUGUGUCAUAUGGAAUCUCGCUUUGGUCUAUUUAGAAACAGUGUUAGUUUCGGUGCAAAAUAUGUGCAUGGUUUGUGACUAAUGCACCAUAGUCUAAGAAACCAUUUUGGAAGCACCUGUUGGUACUUUGGUGAAGAGGCUCAAGUGGAAGCUCGGUUUGAUCUGUUUUGGAGAUAGUGCUAAUCUUGAUGCAAGAUAGGUGCAUGAUUUGCAAGGAACAUACCAUAUGCUUAGAAAUCAAUUUGGACGCACCCAAUGGAACUCCUAGAUGACGUGUGUCAUAAGGAAUCUUGCUUCCGUCCGUUUAUAGACAUUGUACGUUUUAGUGCAAGAUAGGUGCACAGUUUGCACCUAAUGCACCAUAGUCUAAGAAACCAUUUUGGACGCACUAUUUGGUACUCCUAGGUGAAGAGGCUCAAGUGGAAGCUUGGUUUGGUCAGUUUGGAGAUAGUGCUAAUCCUUAUGCAAGAUAGGCGCACGAUUUACAUGGAACAUGUCAUAUGCUCAUAAAUCAAUUUGGAUGCACCCGAUGGAACUCCUUGAUGACAUGUGUCAUAUGGAAUCUUGCUUCGGUCCAUUUGGAGACAUUGUUAGUUUCGGUGCAAGAUAGGUGCACAGUUUGCACCUAAUGCACCAUAGUCUAAGAAACCAUUUUGGACGCACUAUUUGGUACUCCUGGGUGAAGAGGCUCAAGUGCAAGCUUGGUUCGGUCAGUUUGGAGAUAGUGCUAAUCCUUAUGCAAGGUAGCUGCAUGGUUUGCAUGGAACAUACCAUAUGCUUGGAAAUCAAUUUGGAUGCACCCGAUGGAACUCCUUGAGGAUGUGUGUCAUAUGGAAUCUCACUUCGGUCCAUUUGGAGACAUUGUUAGUUUCGGUGGUGCAUAGUUUGCACCUAAUGCACCAUAGUCUAUGAAACCAUUUUGGACACACUUGUUGGUACUCCUAGGUGAAGGGUCUCAAGUGGAUACUCGAUUCGGUCUGUUUGGAGAUAGUGCUAAUCUUGAUGCAAGAUAGGUGCACGGUUUGCAUGGAACAUACCAAAUGCUUGGAAAUCAAUUUGGAUGCACAUGAUGGAACUCCAAGAUGACGUGUGUCAUACGAAAUCUUGCUUCGGUCUAUUUGGAGACAGUGUUAGUUUCGGUGCAAGAUAGGUGCAAGGUUUGCAUAUAAUGCAGCAUAGGCUAAGAAACCAUUUUGGACGCACCCGAUGGUACUCCUAGGUAAAAGGCUCAAGUGAAAGCUUGGUUUGGUCUAUUUGGAGAUAGUGCUAAUCUUGAUGCAAGAUAGAUGCACGGUCUGCAUGGAACGUACCAUAUGCUUAGAAAUUAAUUUGGACACACCCGAUAGAACUCCUUGAUGACGUGUGUCAUAUGGAAUCGCUUUGGUGUGCUUAGAGACAGUAUUAGUUUCGGUGCAAGAUAUGUGCACAGUUUGCGCCUAAUGCACCAAAGUCUAAAAAACCAUUUUGGAAGCACUUGUUGGUACUCCUAGGUGAAGAGGCUCAAGUGGAGGCUCGGUUCGGUCUGUUUAGAGAUAGUGCUAAUCUUGACACAAGAUAGGUGCACGAUUUGCAUUGAACAUACCCUAUGCUCAGAAAUCAAUUUGGACGCACAACAUGGAACUCCUAGAUGACAUGUGUCAUAUGGAAUCUCACUUCGAUCCAUUUAGAGAUAGUGUUAGUUUCAGUGCAAGAUAGGUGCAUGGUUUGCACCUAAUGCACCAUAGGUUAAGAAACCAUUUUGGACGCACCCGAUGGUACCCUAGGUCAAGGGGCUCAAGUGAAAGCUCGGUUUGGUCUGUUUGGAGAUAGUGCUAAUCUUGAUGCAAGAUAGAUGCAUGGUUUGCAUGGAACAUACGAUAUGCUCAGAAAUCAAUUAGGACCCACCUGAUAUAAGUCCUUGAUAAUGUGUGUCAUAUGGAAUCUUGCUUUGGUUCGUUUAGAGACAGUUUUAAUUUUGGUAGAAGAUAUGUGCACGGUUUACGCCUAAUGCACCACAGGCUAAGAAACCAUUUUAGACUCACCCAAUGGUACGAGUAGUUAAAGAGGCUCAAGUGGAGGCUCGAUUUGGUCUGCUCGGAUAUAGUGCUAAUCUUGAUGCAAGAUAGUUGCACAGUUUGCAUGGAACGUACCAUAUGUUAAUAAAUCAAUUUGGACGCACCCAAUGGAACUCCUAGAUGAUGUGUGUCAUAUGGAAUCUCGCUUCGGUCUAUUUGGGGACAAUGUUAGUUUCAGUGCAUGAUAGGUGUAUAGUUUGUGCCUAAUGGACCAUAGUCUAAGAAACCAUUUUUGAUGCACCUGUUU